CAAUGGUAGUGCACAAGAUUGUGGAUCUUGUGGUUGCGGGUUCGAGCCCCGUCUUCGUCCCU
rnacentral:tRNA from 1 species